rnacentral:rRNA from 1 species
ACGAACUGUCCAAACGUUAUUCGGAAUCACUGGGCUUAAAGGGUGCGUAGGCGGCCCGGGAAGUUGGGUGUGAAAUCCCUCGGCUCAACCGAGGAACUGCGCCCAAAACUGCCGGGCUCGAGGGAGACAGAGGUGUGCGGAACUUAGGGUGGAGCGGUGAAAUGCGUUGAUAUCCUAAGGAACACCAGUAGCGAAAGCGGCACACUGGGUCUCUUCUGACGCUGAUGCACGAAAGCUAGGGGAGCGAAGAGGAUUAGAUACCCUCGUAGUCCUAGCCGUAAACGAUGAGCACUGAUUUGGAGGGUCCUCCAUAGCCUUCCAGAUGUAGCGAAAGUGUUAAGUGCUCCGCCUGGGGAGUAUGGUCGCAAGGCUG